rnacentral:ribozyme from 14 species
AAAAAAAAAAAAAAAAAAACCUAGAAGAAAAAGACCAAGGAUUACAUUUCUUUCAUCUUCUCCUUGGUCUUUUUCUCUCUGUCU